rnacentral:tRNA from 1 species
GCCUGGCUAGCUCAGUCGGUAGAGCAUGAGACUCUUAUUGAUCUCAGGGUCGGGGGUUCGAGCCCCCCGUUGGGCG